rnacentral:rRNA from 1 species
UACGGAGGGGGCUAGCGUUGUUCGGAAUUACUGGGCGUAAAGCGCGCGUAGGCGGCUUUGUAAGUUAGAGGUGAAAGCCCAGGGCUCAACCCUGGAAUUGCCUUUAAGACUGCAUCGCUUGAACAUCGGAGAGGUAAGUGGAAUUCCGAGUGUAGAGGUGAAAUUCGUAGAUAUUCGGAAGAACACCAGUGGCGAAGGCGGCUCACUGGUCCGGUACUGACGCUGAGGUGCGAAAGCGUGGGGAGCAAACAGG